rnacentral:rRNA from 1 species
GCGAAAAGAAAACAGUUCAGCACUAAGUCACUUUGUCUAUAUGGCAAAUGUGAGAUGCAGUGUAUGGAGCGUCAAUAUUCUAGUAUGAGAAAUUAACGAUUUAAGUCCUUCUUAAAUGAGGCCAUUUACCCAUAGAGGGUGCCAGGCCCGUAUAACGUUAAUGAUUACUAGAUGAUGUUUCCAAAGAGUCGUGUUGCUUGAUAGUGCAGCACUAAGUGGGUGGUAAACUCCAUCUAAAACUAAAUAUAACCAUGAGACCGAUAGUAAACAAGUACCGUGAGGGAAAGUUGAAAAGAACUCUGAAUAGAGAGUUAAACAGUACGUGAAACUGCUUAGAGGUUAAGCCCGAUGAACCUGAAUAUCCGUUAUGGAAAAUUCAUCAUUAAAAUUGUAAUAUUUAAAUAAUAUUAUGAGAAUAGUGUGCAUUUUUUCCAUAUAAGGACAUUGUAAUCUAUUAGCAUAUACCAAAUUUAUCAUAAAAUAUAACUUAUAGUUUAUUCCAAUUAAAUYGCUUGCAUUUUAACACAGAAUAAAUGUUAUUAAUUUGAUAAAGUGCUGAUAGAUUUAUAUGAUUACAGUGCGUUAAUUUUUCGGAAUUAUAUAAUGGCAUAAUUAUCAUUGAUUUUUGUGUUUAUUAUAUGCACUUGUAUGAUUAACAAUGCGAAAGAUUCAGGAUACCUUCGGGA